rnacentral:rRNA from 1 species
AACGAACGCUGGCGGCAUGCCUAACACAUGCAAGUCGAACGAGACCUUCGGGUCUAGUGGCGCACGGGUGCGUAACGCGUGGGAACCUGCCCUUAGGUUCGGAAUAACUCCCCGAAAGGGGUGCUAAUACCGGAUAAUGUCUUCGGACCAAAGAUUUAUCGCCUUUGGAUGGGCCCGCGUUGGUUUAGCUAGUUGGUAGGGUAAAAGCCUACCAAGGCGACGAUCCAUAGCUGGUCUGAGAGGAUGAUCAGCCACACUGGGACUGAGACACGGCCCAGACUCCUACGGGAGGCAGCAGUGGGGAAUAUUGGACAAUGGGCGGAAGCCUGAUCCAGCAAUGCCGCGUGAGUGAUGAAGGCCUUAGGGUUGUAAAGCUCUUUUACCCGGGAUGAUAAUGACAGUACCGGGAGAAUAAGCUCCGGCUAACUCCGUG